GAUUAAUUGAAAUAUAAGUUCAUUAGGAGGUGAUGCUGAUUCAUAUUUUGUCAUUUAUGAUGACACAUUAUAUUGAUAUAUGAACACCUUUCCAAGCAAAAUAAAUGUACCGUUUUUUAAUGUAUGUAUUUUUUUUUUUUUUUCUGCCAGAUAUUUACACUUCUCGGUUUAAUCAGCUACUUGUGUUUGGCUGGCAGGUCUGCCAUUCUUACCAUUUAGAGGGGCUUAAAAGAAAGGCACCUAUUCAUGAUAUUCACAGGUAUUAACAAGGCAGAGAGAAAGAGAGAGAUAUGCAUGAAACAACAAAUAAAAUCAGUAAAUGACGUCCAGAUGGCAGCAGAAAGGUGCAUUAUAGGAGGACUUCACAUUUUACAUUAUUGUGAGGCAUGCAUUUCAUAGGCAUUAUUUUGAUACGUGUCAUUUCCAUAAAGUACACUACAUUAGAUUAGAUUAGAUUAGAUUAGAUUAGAUUCAACUUUUAUUGUCACUGCACAUAGGAGAAAGAGAGAGAUAUGCAUGAAACAACAAAUAAAAAUCAGUAAAUGACGUCCAGAUGGCAGCAGAAAGGUGCAUUAUAAGAGGACUUCACAUUUUACAUUAUUGUGAGGCAUGCAUUUCAUAGGCAUUAUUUUGAUACGUGUCAUUUCCAUAAAGUACACUACAUUAGAUUAGAUUAGAUUAGAUUCAACUUUAUUGUCACUGCACAUGUAAGGUACAAGGCAACAAAAUGCAGUUAGCAUCUAACCAGAAGUGCAAUAAGCAGUAAGUACAGAAUAUACAAGGUCUACAAUAUGUACAAUAACUAUACAGAUAAGUAUUAUGGACAAAAUUUACAGAUUUUAAAUACUAUCAGCAUGAUAUACAGAUAGGUGUACUAUGAACAUACUAUACAGAUGAAAUAUGUGAAGUGUAUGUACACUAUAGACAGAACUAUGAACAUAUGAACAAUUUACACUAUUGCAAUGGAAGUAAAGUGCAUAGAAAAUAUUUCAGUGUGCAAAUGGGUUAAUCAGUGUUCCUGGAUGAACAGACACUGUGCAAGUAAUAGCAAGUAGUGCAAGUAAUACCAAGUUUGCUGUUUUUGCUUGUUGUAAAUAAAUAAAUAAAUAAAUCAGUCAGAUGUAGUGAUGAAGUGGGGAUCAUCACUACAUCAAAUGCAGACCACUUUGAAUUUGGCUUCUAUCUAAAUGAUUAAUUUACCCCAAAAAGUAAUUCUGUCAUUUACUUUCCCCGAUGUUGUGAAAUUAAUUUCAUGCUUGAAUCAAGCCUAUAUGCUGUUAUUUUGUCUUUGGAACACAGAAAGUGUCAUAAUGUGACUUUAAAUUUAGCGCACAAAUCAUACAAACAUGAUGAUUUGAUGAUAUGACGAUUUUAGAGCUUGACAGGCAUGGUCACUAUGAACUGUUGGUUUAAGAAAACAGCUGUGUAAAGAUUCCUCAAAAUUUCUUUUUUAGAAUAGCAAAAAAAAAAAAGCAAACACAUUUAACAUUUCUAUUAACAAAAAAGGCCAUUCCAAAUACAUUUCUAUUCCCAGUUUCCACAAAACUUCCACAAAACGGCAGUAAUGUGUUUCAACACUGAUGAUUGACGCUCAUUAAAUCAGCAUAUUAAAAUGAGCCUGAUCUCAAAGUUUAGGAAACCAAAAAAAAAAUAUAUAAAAAAAUAAUCCUGACCUUAAACUUUGGAGCGAUAGUAUUUAUGUGUCCUGGUAUCUGACAGAUUGACAUCCCGAUCUGGACAUUUAGUGGCUGUGAUGGACACCAUGUUGUCCUUGGGAUGGGAUUCUGUAAGAGUAAUCUCACUUCUAACUCUCUGACUGUUAAAAAUGUGAGUGUGGUUCGAGUGUGAGAGUGACAGACUAAUGGGAGUGGAGGGGAGUUACGUUCUCUCCUAUAAGCCUCAAUGAAGUGUUAAUAGCCUCCCUGGGUGUUCACACUGUUGUGUGUAUGUGUGUUCACACUGGUGUGUGUGUGUGUGUGUGUGUGUGUGUGUGUGUGUGUGUUUAAAAGCGAGAGAUAAAGAGAGAGAUACUUGCAUUUGUAUUCUUCAGCAGCACUGUUCUCUUCCCUUGAACAGCAGCGCUGAACUCUGCAUUAUUACUUCUGAACACACACUGUGCCAAAUCAAAUUCCCUGAAGGCUCAAUCAUAAAUAGUUAAUUACCAAGAAAUAUUAGCACAAAUAGUUACAGAGCAAAGAUGUUUGCUCCAUUCAAAUUUAGUUAAGCAAAGCUUUGACAGUGUUUAACUGCUAAAUAAAGGUGGUUUUAUUUAAAUCUUUAAAAAUUAUCGGAUAUAAGGCAGAAUAAAACAAACCUGACUGAUUUCCUGAA
rnacentral:lncRNA from 1 species